CUUAAAAUCCAAAGGAUUUGACGGUGUCCCACCCACCUAGAGGAGCCUGUUCUAUAAUCGAUGAUCCUCGAUUUACCCCACCAUUUCUUGCUUUCAGCCUGUAUACCUCCGUCGUAAGCUUACCACCUGAGUGUAAAAAGUAAGUUUAAAGGUUUUCCACCAAUACGUCAGGUCAAGGUGCAGCUAAUGAAAUGGAAAGCAAUGGGCUACAAUUUCUAUAAUAGAACAAACGAAAUACUACAUGAAAAAUAGUCAUGAAGGCGGAUUUAGCAGUAAAAGAGGAAUAGUGUGCCCCUUUUAACAAGGCUCUGGGACGUGU
rnacentral:rRNA from 1 species